rnacentral:snoRNA from 1 species
UCCCCUGUUCUAUAUGAAUGUGCGCCUGCCUGUUCCCUGAGUUCGAGAAAGCGAAUAUGGCCAUAUGGACCCUACAAGGUAUGCUUCCAUUAUGUCAAACUCAUUGCUGUCGUGGCAAUGAGACCUGAAAUGUGA